rnacentral:rRNA from 1 species
UACAGAGGUCUCAAGCGUUGUUCGGAUUCAUUGGGCGUAAAGGGUGCGUAGGCGGCAUUGUAAGUCGGAUGUGAAAUCUUGGGGCUCAACCCCAAAACUGCAUUCGAUACUGCAGUGCUUGAAGACUGAAGAGGAGAUUGGAAUUCACGGUGUAGCAGUGAAAUGCGUAGAUAUCGUGAGGAAGACCAGUGGCGAAAGCGAAUCUCUGGGCAGAUCUUGACGCUGAUGCACGAAGGCCAGGGGAGCAAACGGG